GAUGAGUACAAAAAGGAAAUGAUAUGAAACUGAAAAUACAGUCUUAUACAAGUUUUGUGUUGCCACAUGACAAAACUGACAGAAAAUUGUCUUACAAUUAUUACAUUUCUGUAAAAACAAGAGAAAUGAGUGUACUAAAAGACUAUUUGUCCCCUCCUCAAGCAAAACUGACAAGAAGAACUAAAGCAACAGCCAAGACAAGACCAGUUUUGCUAGGAAGCCAAUAAGAAGCAUGACUAGGAGAAGGUGCAGGCACUGCUACAGCAGGGAUGUGACUCAACGACGAAGG
rnacentral:misc_RNA from 1 species